CCUACGGGAGGCAGCAGUGAGGAAUAUUGGUCAAUGGACGAGAGUCUGAACCAGCCAAGUAGCGUGAAGGAUGACUGCCCUAUGGGUUGUAAACUUCUUUUAUAUGGGAAUAAAACGUUCCACGUGUGGGAUUUUGUAUGUACCAUAUGAAUAAGGAUCGGCUAACUCCGUGCCAGCAGCCGCGGUAAUACGGAGGAUCCGAGCGUUAUCCGGAUUUAUUGGGUUUAAUGGGAGCGUAGGUGGAUUGUUAAGUCAGUUGUGAAAGUUUGCGGCUCAACCGUAAAAUUGCAGUUGAAACUGGCAGUCUUGAGUACAGUAGAGGUGGGCGGAAUUCGUGGUGUAGCGGUGAAAUGCUUAGAUAUCACGAAGAACUCCGAUUGCGAAGGCAGUUCACUGGACUGCAACUGACACUGAGGCUCGAAAGUGUGGGUAUCAAACAGGAUUAGAUACCCCUGUAGUC
rnacentral:rRNA from 1 species